rnacentral:rRNA from 1 species
GACGAACGCUGGCGGCGUGCCUAAUACAUGCAAGUUGAGCGAUGAAGAUUGGUGCUUGCACCAAUUUGAAGAGCAGCGAACGGGUGAGUAACGCGUGGGGAAUCUGCCUUUGAGCGGGGGACAACAUUUGGAAACGAAUGCUAAUACCGCAUAACAACUUUAAACAUAAGUUUUAAGUUUGAAAGAUGCAAUUGCAUCACUCAAAGAUGAUCCCGCGUUGUAUUAGCUAGUUGGUGAGGUAAAGGCUCAUCAAGGCGAUGAUACAUAGCCGACCUGAGAGGGUGGUCGGCCGGAUUGGGAGGGAGACACGGCACAAAGGCCUACGGGAGGGAGCAGGAGGGAAUCGUCGGGAAGGGGUGGAAGUCGGACCGAGAAGCGCCGAAGGAGGGAGGAAGGAUGUCGGAUCGUGGAACUCUGUUGGUGGGGAGGAACGUUGGUGAGAGUGGAAAGCUCAGCAAGUGACGGUAACUACCCAGAAAGGGACGGCUAACUACGUG